rnacentral:lncRNA from 1 species
UAGUAAUCCGCUCUGAUACCAACUGCCGUAACGGGAUUUCUCUCCAUCCUUCCGCGACUAAUACGCAUAGAAUCAACAAUUUUGUUUGAAAAAAAAUAAAAUAUUAUAAUUUUAUUUAUUUUUUUAAAUAAAUUUAACUAGUAAUGUGUAAUAAUUAGACUUUAAAUUUGAGAACUCGAAUACCAGCUAUCAAAUUCUUUGCUAACUGUGCUAGAUACGAUUGGUGCAAAGAAUCUGCAGCUUAUUUUGCAACCUAGUUUGAUACCAAUACUAAAAAUUCAAUACCUGUUGUGUAUAUAGCUGGCAGUUCAUCUUGUUGUUCGCGAGUUAAUUCGUGUUUGGCUGGAAAUGAGCUUAAGAUCGAUCGCUCGUUUAAUAAAUAAGCUGAAUAUGAGCUGGAAUUAGCUUGCUUGUGUUAGGCUCAAUAUAGCUCAAUGCUACUAUUUGGAUUUUAUGCCAACGCAAACAUAAAGAUGCCGAUGCUUUAAGUAAACAUGUUGGGAUAAAUAUACUAACACUUUAAUAUAACAUUGAAAAAUUUUUAUCAGUAUUUAAUAAAAAAUAUGUUUAUUGGCGAUACUUAAUUAUGAUACCGGCACAUACCAAAUUUUAAAGAUAUUGAAAUAAAAUAUCGUCUAAAAAGUGUCGACUAAAAUAUAUUUUAUU